rnacentral:lncRNA from 1 species
CCUAAUCCCCUUUUCUCUCCUCUCUCGUUUUCUCUCUUCCACGGUAGCAGUUUAGAGCGGCGACAGGGGCCAGCGAGACAUGAUGGCAGAGGCUAGUUCUUGAGACCAUGGCUGUGUUUUUUGGCAUUUUCUGCCCUAAUAAUGGUUACCCUUAAGCUUUAAGUUGCCACGGCCACAUGGUACUGAAAGGGGUAAAAGUGUGAUUCCACGGUAACACCAAAUAAAUAAAAAGAAGCCGCAACAACCUGAAACACUCUACCCGCGUGAUUCGGCCGAAAAGCGAAGUUCAUAGUUCAUCACCAUCUCAUCAUUUGACCAACCACCUUCGAACUUAAGCCCUCUCCUCCAAAGGGUAUGCAUAUAAUAAUUCUUUAUUAAAUUAUGCUUUAUUCGAAUAAUAAUUCUUGGUCGGCACAUCUAACUUUCAAGCUGUACCACAUAUUCGAUUUAAUUGAUGGCUCACUUUUUUAUUCUGUAUUUCAUAAUUUUUAGCUUUCCAUGUUUUUUCCUUUUAUGAUUCAUACGUUAGUUUCUCUUUUAACCGUGCUUUGUUUAGAAAAAUGAUGAGCUUGGCGCAAUGGUAAGUUUAUUGCUAGGUGACUAUGAGUUCACGGGUUCAAAUCCUGGAAACAGUCUUUCUACUUGUGAAAAUAAGAUUACGUACAUCUACUAUCUCCAAACCCCACUAAGUGGGGUCCUCAUGCACUAAACCACCCUAUUUUGUUUAGAAAACUGGCCACCGGGGUUGUUAAAUCACCUAAUAUGGGUUUGUCUAGUGCGAUAGUUGUCCUUGAGUUGCUUUUGAUUUUCACUGUUUAUUGCCUUUUUUCCUUUCAUCUUUUGUUUUUAGGCGAAACAGAUAUUUGUGUUUCCUUAUCUAGUUGCAAACUGCUACCCAUUGAGUUUCACUGUUUGAGUUGAUGAAUGAGAUUGAUUAUCUUGCUUGAUCACGAGGACCAUAAAGAGCCGCUAUAGUCUUCUCUUCACACUAUUUGGUAAGCAUCUGUAUCUGAGCUUUUGGAGUAAUCGGUUUUUUGUUAUAAAGGGAGUCGUUAUUAUGCUGGCUUUCUACAACUAACUGAGUACUUCUAAGAUAAUAAGCUUAGGAUCAGUGCUUCAAAUUGCGGAUCAGAUCAUAUGAUGUGGCAACAAUAUUGUGUUUGUGGUGACGGCUGCAACCGCAUUACAUCACAAUUGUGGUGUGACACUGAUUCACGAUGACGUGGCUGCACCGGGCUGCAAUACAUCACCAUCAGAAUGCAUUUCGGUCACAUAAGGCUGCAUCAGACCUGAUCAAAUUCAAAAAUAUUUUUUUAAAUCACAACAUAAUUAUCAUCCCACAAUCUGCAUCACAACGGCCACAGUUGCAGUAACCGCAACCAUGACUGAAAUCCCGACCACAACCGCAAUUAAAACACGGCUAAUGAUAUUUGUCUCUGUAUGAUUUAUAAUUGAUCUUCAUAAAUGUUUGUUUUUUCUGCCUGAUAGUUUCAUUUUGAAAACAAGUAUAGCCACAGCAGUUGCGAGUUUUGUCAUUGCAAAGUCACCACAACAAUAAUCUAAAACCAUAAAUCUGCUAACAAACUGAUACAGUGAUAAGUUAGUUUCAUAUCAUCGAUGGAAUAGGAAAAUGUCCCUGUCAGAAUUUAUCCAUGUUCCUUUUGGAUUCCUGGAUUUUAUAUUCCCUAUCAGACGGCUUUUAAUUCAGUUGAACAGGCUUUUGUCUUCAGUUUUAGUUGUUCAGCAGCAAGUUAUUUUGGACCGCAGGUUUUGGCUGGUCUAACAAUUCGCUUUUCUUGUUAGCUUGUUAGUCCAGAAUCCUUCAAGGGGAGAGAGUGGAUGUAAAAUAUUUAUUUUCAUUUAAUUUUGAAAGAGUGUUGUUCUCUACUCCUAUGUGUGUGUAUGUUUUUGAACCAUCUUUCUUUUUAGUGACGGACCCAGGAAUGUUUAGGUAGUAGGGGCAAAGGCAAUAACCGAGUACAAAUAUAUUGGAGUGAAAAUGACAAAUGGCUUUCAUGUGUAGUAAAUUAAUUCCGAAGUUGAGUGGGUGUGUCCCCAACAUCUCUACUGUGGGUCCGUCCCUGCUUCAUAUACAUUUCAGGGACGGGAAUGCAUGCCAUAUCCUUAUGAUUUACUGAAGUGAAGUCGAGCUAGAAUGAGCAGAACUGGUUAACAACUUAGGACUUAGUGAAGUAAUGAUACCAAUUACGCUGUCUUGACUUGUUACUGUUUCAGGCUAAAUCACCCUCAAGACUUAUCAUUACUGGUUUCAGCAAUAUAGGCUUGCCCUUCCUUCUUCAAAGAGGUCAAUUUCAUGGAUGACAGUCCUCCAAGGUUAAAGAUUAUUCCUGAUCAUUUUCAAGUUCCAGCAUCAAGUUUUGAAUCUCCUGAGAACAGAACACCAACUAUUAUAGAACCUGGAACUGAUCAAUUUUCAAGUUCAAGGUCCUCCUUCCAUUUGAGGACUCGGAGAAAAUUAAGGAAGGCUUUCAUGUUGAAAUUGUUUACUCUCCGUGGGCUGCCGUGGGGGUCCAAUACUGAAGGUCAGGAAAAGGUUGAGUUAACAGCUGCAGAAGUAGAGUCGCUUCAAUCAGAAGUUGCUGAUAUAGAAGAGAGGGAAGCUCACUUGAAAGCUCAGUGAGUGAAUUUGCAAUUUACUUAAGGUUACCAUGCUUCUUUUGUAUGUGUAGCUCUCGGUGUACUAAAAUCAGCGAUAAAAGAAACGAAGAUAGUAUAGUAUGCAUGCUAGCAUUAGAUUGGACAAAUAUGUGGGGAAAUCUUAUUGGCCUUAAGAGACACCAAUGUGUUUUCAGUAAAUGACAAAUGUUUUUCACACAGGUUGGAACACAUUGAUGAAGUUUUGCGAUCAGCUCGUUUAUCUGGCUAUCUAUCCAUUCGAACUGUACUGACAGUCUAGACCCUAAAUUUUGUUGCAUUGGUCUGUGCCUUGUUAUUUUAUUUACCUGACAAGUUUAACACUAUUUCGCUUGUAUCUUUCUCUUAGAGAUGGGCCACACUACCAGGAGAACCUCCACCAAUCGAUGAUAUUGAAGUAGAUGAUUGGCUUCCUCGUUUUGUUGUUCUCCAUGGAGCAUGUAUAUUCUUAUACUUCUUGUGUACAGGUAAUAUAGUUAGCUAUGUUUAUUAUCUCUUCCUCCAUUUAUUUUUAUUUUCCUACCAAGCUUAUAUUGAAUUAAAACUGUUAUAAUAUUCAUGUGUUCAACUUUAGAGCUAAUCUGUGUUCUGUGUUUUGUGCUUCCUUCAUGCCUCUAUUCAUUGAAUGACUAAUACCAUGUCAGCAUACCACUGAAAUUGUAUUCUCCAUUUUUGUGGAUCUGUAUUUGUUUUUGUUACAAAAUUGUAAUGCUUGAAUUUAUUUGAGAAAAUUAAAUGACAUGAUGCAGAUGAGCAAUUUUAUGUUGUACAUUCUAUUUGUUGUACCUGAUAUAAGCCACAAGAGGUUUUGCUAAACAUUUUCACACACACAUAUAUACUAAUGAGUAACUCAAUGCAUGUUUGGAUUGAAAGGUAGAAUGGGAAUGAGAUUGGAGUCAAUCUCAUUCCCAUUCCCAAGGGAGUAAGUUUUCCUUUGAUUUUAGCAAUAGGUGUGAUAAAAUAAUAAUUGGCCAAUCCAUCUGGCCUCACUUCCUUAACUCCAAAAUAAUCUCAAGCCAAUUUGUGCUUUCAGCCCAAAUUUGGCCUAGCCAAAUCUAUUUAACUUACAAUUCAAGAAAAAAAAUCAUAGAUUGAACUUUUUUUUGGGGUCAAUUAUAGCAUACCAGGCUUAGAAGUGGAUGAAGUCAUCUUUUCACUCAUAUCCAUACUAUAGAAAACAUAAGAAUGAACUUCCAUUCAUGACAUUAGUUUUCUUUAUGCAAUUAAAUGUAUUAUAGUACCAACCAGAACAUCAAGAUUUACUACACUGGCCAAUUGUUUUUCUGUAGAUAAAUUGUGUUUGUGCCUUCUUCAAUGUGGGUGAGUGAAAAAUGAAAGUAUGAAACCUCUUUAUCAUCACAGACUUGUGCAACCUUGGAUUAUUGAAACAUCACUUCUCCCUAUUGACUAAUUCUUUUUCCAAUUUAUGUUUGUGAUUUGCUUUGAAUCUUGCAAAUCAACAGCUCAUACUGAAACUUCAUUUACCAUAAUGUUAAAGAUUACUAUAAUGUUUGUUUGAGCUCCGUAGUGUCAAGAAUCAGCACUGCCAAGCACAAACUAUUAGGAGAAGGCCUAAAAAUUCUUUAACGUGCCCUUUCUGUCAAAGCUUAAACAAAUCAGCUGCGAGCAGCGAAGAAUGUAACUCUUGACUUCUUGGUCGAAGAGGGCAAAAUAUCAUGUUAAUACUCUCAAGUUUGUUCUAUAUUAAUAUCUUUAAAAACUUAAACUAAAUUUUCACACUUGCCUCAAUCUAUAUAUUUAAUCUCAAGCUUUAGACGAUGUAUUACAUUUCCAAAGCAUCAUUGCAUCAAUUCUCCUUUACUGAUACAAGGGUAAAGAAAUUGCAGAUUUAAGCCCUCAGGACUCAACACUUCUAUCUGAUAUUGUUGAAGUAGGGAGAUUACCAAGUAUUAAGUGUGAAGAACAUGGGAUUCAAUAUGCCUUUUAUAUUUUAACUCGGCAAGGAUUACGAUAUGAGUGCUCGAGCAAUUCUAAGAUACAGGUGGAUGUUUGGUUGUCAGCUUUGCAAACUGACUGCAAACUGGAAUCUGAUACAUCAGUUCCCAAUGGUUCGAUUAAGAAGUAACAUAAUUUAUGCCUCGUUCGGCCUCAACUGCUGCAAGCUGCAAUGUCUUACCACCUUCUUAGCACCAUAGCCAGUGGCUAAAGCCACUAUUUACAAAUCACCAUCUUACCACAAACCAAGGGGGGAAAGUAGUAGUUAAGGAAGAUUUGAGAUGGGAACUAAAUAAUUUUUUUAAGACAUUUAUACAUCCAACGUUCGUGGACUCCAUUAGGUAAGAAAUUCGCGUACUGGUGCAUCUAUUUUGA